rnacentral:rRNA from 1 species
UACGAAGGGGGCUAGCGUUGCUCGGAAUCACUGGGCGUAAAGCGCACGUAGGCGGCAUCUUAAGUCAGGGGUGAAAUCCUGGAGCUCAACUCCAGAACUGCCUUUGAUACUGAGGAUCUUGAGUAGGGAGAGGUGAGUGGAACUGCGAGUGUAGAGGUGAAAUUCGUAGAUAUUCGCAAGAACACCAGUGGCGAAGGCGGACUCACUGGCCCGUAACUGACGCUGAGGCACGAAAGCGUGGGGGAGCAAACAGG